CAGUCGCCACGGUAAUACGAAGGGUGCAAGCGUUAAUCGGAAUUGCUGGGCGUAAAGCGUGCGUAGGCGGUGAGUUAAGUCUGCUGUGAAAUCCCCGGGCUCAACCUGGGAAUGGCAGUGGAUACUGGCUCGCUAGAGUGUGUCAGAGGAUGGUGGAAUUCCCGGUGUAGCGGUGAAAUGCGUAGAGAUCGGGAGGAACAUCAGUGGCGAAGGCGGCCAUCUGGGACAACACUGACGCUGAGGCACGAAAGCGUGGGGAGCAAACAGGAUUAGAUACCCCCGUAGUCCCUGUCUCUUAUAA
rnacentral:rRNA from 1 species